CUGAACUAAGGCGUAAUUAAUUUGUAAUUUCAAAUUGGAUACUUUUUGGACCUAUGUACAUGUAUGUGAACAUGGUCGAAAGUUGAGUGAGAGAUUAUUGAUAUCUAAAUGGCCAGCGGAGGACCAACAGAUGGUAAAUUUAUUGUUUUGUUUAAUUUAAGGAUGUUUGCUACUCUGUUUCAAAAUAAUUCAAUAGAUUGUUAUGAAUUGAUAGUAUCAUUGAUACUAUUCAUAAAUAAAGGAACUAAAAAAGCAGAUCAAAAUGAAGGGAUCGUGUGCUUGUUUUCGAGAUAUUAGCAAUUGGAAAUUUGGCGGGAUAUUAUUCUCUCUAGACUUUUUAAACUUUUAACAUAAGUACUCUAUUUCCAGUUUUAAAAAAUGAAAACAUAUUAAGGAUUUUAUAGGAUUUAUAAACUACUAUAUGUAAUAAAAUUGUGAAAAGAAAAGUAAGGGUUGGCAGGGAAGUUAUUGUAAUUGCACUAUAUGCCAAAAACCAGAGGAUUCCGAAAAUUUCUAAAAACGAGAGGAGCGAACAUCCCCAAAGGAUUUCUAUUUCUAUUAUAUUUAUGUUGUUAUUUCAUUAAUACUUGCACCGUUGUAACACAAUAACACACACCAUUUUGAUUCAAUUAAAAGACAUCUGCACAUUUGAAUUUAUGAAGGAAUUAACAACUGAAAUUAUAUUAAAGAAUACUUUUGUUAUCCACAGAUUGAAGACGGCUCCAUAUAAUUUUAAGACAUUUGUUUACAAAUUUCUAAUGCACUCAUUUUGUAAGAUUUAUGAAUAUAAUUAUAUCACUAAUGCAAUGCAGUGUAAUGUAAGGUUAUUAUGCAAUAAUUUUAUUAUAGACAUUGAACCUGCUCCACCAUACGAACCACCAAACAGAUUUUCAAACAUUCACCAUGGACCAGGUCCAAGUGAUUUCGGGAGGGGUUCACAUCCAGCCCCUAACAACUUUUUGUUCAACAGAGCUACAUAUCCAGAGCUUCCAGGUUUUUAUGAUGAAUAUGGACAUGACCAAUUCAAGAUGAUAGAAUUAAAUUCGAAACAUAAAGCGAAGAUGAGACGUCAGCUCCAUCAACAUAAUACAACGGUAUGAGCAAUAACUAUACAUCUAUCUUGGAAUGUAUCAAUGUAUUAGAAAUAUUUAAUCACUAGUUUACGCACAUUCUCCAAAAGUUUAUUCAAAUAUUCGAUGACGCGACGUCAUUAUCUACGUCACAGAUAUAAAAAUACUCAUGCCAAUUCUACCUUCUGCUCCUUUAUAACGUUUUACGAAAAAUCCCGAUAAAAAAUGACACGAUGAACGAUGUUUUUAUUGGCGCAAUGUGGAAGAAACUGAAAAUGGCCCAAGUAUAAAUUUUUACUCAAAGCCUAGUCUUAUGAUACAGAGCUAAUAAACGACAACUAAUCAAUUACAGGCUCUUGACAUCGGACAGGCACAAACAUAAUAUUGGUGGGAUUCAUCGAGCAUGGAAAUAGGCGUCACUCCUCCCCUAACCUGGGACAAUGGUAUAAAAAUGCACUACACAUGAAGUCCAUAACGAUUCGACAAUGAAGCAAGGGCAGACACACCUGUAUUGCGGGAUAUUGGAUAUGUUUUGUUUUUGUUUUGUUUAAAUAAAACAUAUACUUGAAGCCUAAAAAACAAUCCAUCUUAUAUUUUCUUUCGUCAGCCAUCUUUGCUUUACAUUGAAAAAGAAUUUUUAAACUUCAAAGUCAUGUCGAUUCUGGUGGAGAGUUGUCUCAUUGUCAAAUAUAUCAUAACUACCAACUUGUGUAUAAACUAGAAAAAAAAACCAUUGCGAGCGCGGCUUGAUGACUACCUGGAAUGCUUAUGGUGAAACAUAGCAUGGGUCUGUUGUUUUUCGAACUGUUUGUAUACACUGAUGUAUAAUGAAGUGAGGAAUAACCCAGAGAAAAAGAAGACAAUAUAGAACACUGAUGAUUAAAACAUUUCUCACUGGUGCUAGUUUGUAGUAUAUUUUUUUUCGAAAAAUUUAAUAGUAAAGAUAGAUUUAAAUGUAUAAAUACUAUGAAUUGCAUGCACCAAACUCUUGUCAACGACAUCCCGACUGUGAGAAACCCUCAUGUGUAGUCAUUGUCGUUAAACAUCCCUGUAGUCAACGCAUUUGUGUGAAUGAACAUGUGUUUGUCGGUUUGAUUUUUGAAUAUUCAAGAAAUCUAGAGGAAUAAAAAAAUAAUAACAUUUUCGCCUUAAAACUUUAUAACUAUCAAAACUGUACUUUCUAUUUACAGGAACUGGCGACAGUACGAACAAGAAGUUCCGGCAGUAAACUUGGACUAAUUUUCUUCUUCGUGUUAUCUCUUGUUAUUGUGGGAGGUUUUGUAGCUCUUGUCUUUUAUGUCAUCUCUUCUCGUAGUUGAUCUUAAAGAACAAAGCAACACGGAAUCGAACCAUGUAUUAAUUUUUAUCUUUUCAUGAAAACAUGAAAUACUGUAUAUUUAUUUUCUCUCUAAAGAGAUUUUGACUCAACCUUCACUGAAACGGCAGCCCAACAUCAAAAUAAAGCAACAGAUGCACUUUAUUUUAUAGUAUCUAAAUAAGAACAAUGUCUAUUUAUUCACACAUGUCUUUAAUGUCAAACAAUGACCACGGUCAUCUGUAAUGAAACAUAAAACAUUAUUAGCAAUAAUAGGCACAGUUCAGUCCAUAGUUAUAGGUAGGAAAUGUACAUAUAUAGGCAAUUAUAACCCUGUAGUAUACAUGUAUGAUGAUUUUCUAUUAUGUAAUAGCUGUUAUGUUCUAUGAUGUUUUAUGGUAUUUGAGUUAAAAAGAGGGAAAAUGCAUUAAUUCAAUGUUUUGUGCAUUUUCUCAAAAUGU
rnacentral:lncRNA from 1 species